rnacentral:rRNA from 14 species
GGCAGCGGUGGGUGGCCGCAGAGACCAGUGAGAAGCGACUGUUUACUAAAAACACAGGUCCGUGCGAAGUCGCAAGACGAUGUAUACGGACUGACGCCUGCCCGGUGCUGGAAGGUUAAGAGGACCUGUUAGACCCUGUGUGGUCGAAGCGGAGAAUUUAAGCCCCAGUAAACGGCGGUGGUAACUAUAACCAUCCUAAGGUAGCGAAAUUCCUUGUCGGGUAAGUUCC